GGCAAUGGUUUUUAUGAGAAAUUUAUGCAAUUAUUUUCAUUUAGAUUGCAGAUCCUGGUCAGGCGGUGGACAGGCCAGCGAAUGGGUAUUGCAUAAUCAUAUGAAAACUUGCAUUCAUGCUUAAAUGAUUCCGCUCAAGCUUAAGAUUGAGAAAGAUAUAAUUCAUACAUAAAUAUAUACUAGACCAUAAGACGUUAGUGGAGUUUUUUUCCCCCCCCCUUUUUUUUUUGUGUGUGUAUUUG
rnacentral:lncRNA from 1 species